rnacentral:tRNA from 1 species
GCCGCUGUAGCUCAGCUGGUAGAGCGCCGGCCUCGUAAGGUCUCUUCAAGGGAGCCGGCGGUCGCGGGUUCAAUUCCCGCCAGCGGCU